UGGGGAAUAUUGGACAAUGGGCGCAAGCCUGAUCCAGCCAUGCCGCGUGUGUGAAGAAGGCCUUUUGGUUGUAAAGCACUUUAAGCGAGGAGGAGGCUACUUGGAUUAAUACUCUAAGAUAGUGGACGUUACUCGCAGAAUAAGCACCGGCUAACUCUGUGCCAGCAGCCGCGGUAAUACAGAGGGUGCGAGCGUUAAUCGGAUUUACUGGGCGUAAAGCGUGCGUAGGCGGCUUCUUAAGUCGGAUGUGAAAUCCCUGAGCUUAACUUAGGAAUUGCAUUCGAUACUGGGAAGCUAGAGUAUGGGAGAGGAUGGUAGAAUUCCAGGUGUAGCGAUGAAAUGCGUAGAGAUCUGGAGGAAUACCGAUGGCGAAGGCAGCCAUCUGGCCUAAUACUGACGCUGAGGUACGAAAGCAUGGGGAGCAAACAG
rnacentral:rRNA from 1 species